AUUAGGGUCUGCUACACAAGCAGUUGGGCCCAUGCCCCAAAAACGGAAUAUAACCCCCUAAUA
rnacentral:tRNA from 2 species